rnacentral:lncRNA from 12 species
GGGGAUACAGUGGUGGCGGGGGUACACAGAGGAGGGGGAGGAGGAGAGCAUGGGCCACUCCGAAGGCAGAAGGAAUGCUGAUCCAACAGAGGUUCCUUGGUCAAGUCUGGAGAUCACAUCAACCUUUCGAUGAUAAAAAGGGAAUGUGAAGAGACCUUCUCCCCAGGUACCCUGCAUGUCCUUGGUGAGGACAGCUUGUGGGAGCAUAGCGGGAAGUUCAGAUGGACGCACAGACUUGGAAGCUGUUAGUUUGAGGUCAUUAAGUUUGUGUUUCUUCUGGCCUUCCUUUCUAGUUGAUUUGCAUUUGAUUUUCAUCCCACAGAGUCUUGGAUGUAGCCUGGAAUGCAUCAAUCACUUAGCAAGCAAGCAAGCAGACAGCAGGGCCACCAAAGGGAGGGAAAAGAAAACCCUCAAAGUGGGGUUGAGAAAGGUCAAUUGGAGAAAGGAGAGGGUAAGAGAGAGAGAGAGAGAUUGAGAGAGAGAGCCAGCAUGCUAGACUAAGCAUGUGUCAGAGCAUGUAUGAGAGAGAACUAGCCCAAGAAUCCAGCAUCAGGGUGUCCGACCAUCACUCAGGUGGCCUGCUUCCCCCCAUGGGGUCCCACUUACUCAAACCCCAAGGUUGCCCUCCCUGUUCAGAUCCAGAAUACCUUUCCAAACAUUUCUGAUUUUAAUCUCCCAACUUCUUGUUGCUUUCAUGUGGAAGUCUCCUCAGGUUCUCUCGUCAGGCUUCACUAGGGAAGACUAAGGCUGGGCCAUCUCUCUCUUCUGAGCAUCUGAAGUGUCCCUUCCUGUGGCACUUACCAUCCUCUUCCCCAGGUCAAGUCCUCUACUGGACUCUUGGCUCUUGGGAGAGCAGAGUCCAAGUCUGGCUCAGCCCUGUGUACUCUCCACCCCUCAUCCCUAGCCUGGCCCAUGGUAGGGGCCCAAGUAUUGGCCAAUAGAACUCACACUACAGAAAAGGCUUGCAAUUUGAUGCUACCACUGGAUGGUCCAGUGAUGGCACCAAAGUCUUUUCUGCAUUUUUGGCAGGAAAUUUUGGGGGAAAAAAAAGAAAAGCCCAAGUCUCUCAGAUUUAGUGGCUAGUAAACUACAAAGCCACACAGUCAUGGACAGAGUGGGGGCAUGUAUUUGGAGGGUAGGGUGGUGAG